UGCUGACUGCGGCUGGCAGGCUGUGGCUUGCUGGCUGUAAGCCUGUGGCUUGCUGUAGGCCUGUGGGCUGGCUACUGGCCUGUGGGCUGGCUACUGGCCAGCCUGUGGGUUGGCUGGCUGGCUACUGGGGCACUUGUAGAUUAUUUAAAGAAAUAAUCCAUGCACAAUAACCACUACUGCUCCAGAGUAAGUAGUCAAACCGUUUAAGAACAGUUUGACAACUUACCUGGGGUCUGCUGGGAUAUGAGGCUGUAGUAGGGAAUAGGAGCAGUGGUGCAAUGUGUGUGAAAGGUUCAGUGUGUGUGUGGGGGUGUAGUGUGUGAAUGUGUAGGGUGUGUGGGCAGUGUAUGUGUGUGGCAAUGUUAGUAUGGGGGGCUGUGUAUGGGGUCUG
rnacentral:lncRNA from 1 species